rnacentral:rRNA from 1 species
GACGAACGCUGGCGGCGUGCUUAACACAUGCAAGUCGAACGGUAAGGCGCUGCUUUUGUGGGGGGGUCGGGUGGCGAACGGGAGAGUAAAACGUGAGUAAACUGACCUUGACUUUGGGAUAAGUUAAGGACACUGGGGCUAAUAUCGGAUAGGAGAUUCUGGUGCAUGGUGGGGGUUGGAAAGUUUAGGCGGUUGGGGCUGGAGUCGCGGCUUUUCCGCUUGAUGGGGGGGUAGUGGCUGACCAAGGCUUUGACGGCUAGCCGGCCUGAGAGGGUGACCGGCCACAUGGGGACUGAGAUACGGCCCAGACUCCUACGGGAGGCAGCAGUGGGGAAUAUUGCACAAUGGGCGGAAGCCUGAUGCAGCAACGCCGCGUGCGGGAUGACGGCCUUCGGGUUGUAAACCGCUUUCGCCUGUGACGAAGCGUGAGUGACGGUAAUGGGUAAAGAAGCACCGGCUAACUACGUG